AUUGAACGCUGGCGGCAUGCCUUACACAUGCAAGUCGAACGGCAGCACGGGUGCUUGCACCUGGUGGCGAGUGGCGAACGGGUGAGUAAUGCAUCGGAACGUGCCCAGUCGUGGGGGAUAACGCAGCGAAAGCUGUGCUAAUACCGCAUACGAUCUAUGGAUGAAAGCGGGGGAUCGCAAGACCUCGCGCGAUUGGAGCGGCCGAUGUCAGAUUAGCUAGUUGGUGGGGUAAAGGCCCACCAAGGCGACGAUCUGUAGCUGGUCUGAGAGGAUGAUCAGCCACACUGGAACUGAGACACGGUCCAGACUCCUACGGGAGGCAGCAGUGGGGAAUAUUGGACAAUGGGCGCAAGCCUGAUCCAGCAAUUCCGCGUGGGUGAAGAAGGUCUUCGGAUUGUAAAGCCCUUUCGUUGGGGACGAUGAUGACGGUACCCAAAGAAGAAGCCCCGGCUAACUUCGUGCCAGCAGCCGACGG
rnacentral:rRNA from 1 species